rnacentral:rRNA from 1 species
GAUGAACGCUGGCGGCGUGCCUAAUACAUGCAAGUCGAGCGAACAGACGAGGAGCUUGCUCCUCUGACGUUAGCGGCGGACGGGUGAGUAACACGUGUAUAACCUACCUAUAAGACUGGGAUCACUUCGGGAAACCGGAGCUAAUACCGGAUAAUAUAUUCAACCGCAUGGUUCAAUAGUGAAAGACGGUUUUGCUGUCACUUAUAGAUGGAUCCGCGCCGCAUUAGCUAGUUGGUAAGGUAACGGCUUACCAAGGCAACGAUGCGUAGCCGACCUGAGAGAGUGAUCGGCCACACGGGAACUGAGACACGGUCCAGACUCCUACGGGAGGCAGCAGUAGGGAAUCUGCCGCAAUGGGCGAAAGCCUGACGGAGCAACGCCGCGUGAGUGAUGAAGGUCUUCGGAUCGUAAAACUCUGUUAUUAGGGAAGAACAAAUGUGUAAGUAACUAUGCACGUCUUGACGGUACCUAAUCAGAAAGCCACGGCUAACUACGUG